rnacentral:rRNA from 1 species
UUCGGUGUGAGUAGAGUGGCGGACGGGUGAGUAACGCGUGGGAAUCUGCCCAGUAGUGGGGGACAACUACCGGAAACGGUAGCUAAUACCGCAUACGCCCUAUGGGGGAAAGGCUUCGGCCGCUAUUGGAUGAGCCCGCGUCAGAUUAGCUAGUUGGUAGGGUAAAGGCCUACCAAGGCAACGAUCUGUAGCUGGUCUGAGAGGACGAACAGCCACACUGGGACUGAGACACGGCCCAGACUCCUACGGGAGGCAGCAGUGGGGAAUAUUGGACAAUGGGCGAAAGCCUGAUCCAGCAAUGCCGCGUGUGUGAAGAAGGCCUGCGGGUUGUAAAGCACUUUCAGUUGGGAAGAUGAUGACGUUACCAACAGAAGAAGCACCGGCUAAAUCCGUGCCGGCAGCCGCGGUAAUACGGAUGGUGCGAGCGUUAAUCGGAAUUACUGGGCGUAAAGCGCGCGUAGGCGGCUAAGUCAGUCAGAAGUGAAAGCCCCGGGCUCAACCUGGGAAUUGCUUUUGAUACUGCUUAGCUAGAGUUUGGUAGAGGAUAGUGGAAUUCCAGGUGUAGCGGUGAAAUGCGUAGAUAUCUGGAGGAACAUCAGUGGCGAAGGCGACUGUCUGGACCAAAACUGACGCUGAGGUGCGAAAGCGUGGGUAGCAAACAGGAUUAGAUACCCUGGUAGAAGGGC